CUGGAGGACCAAGAAAGUGGAGCCAGUGACAUGAUAUUGACUCCACUGAUACUAUCCUCCUAAAUUAAAUGGUGGAAGAGCAAGGCCUGCCUGUGAGAUAAAGCCAGGACCUACUUCGUCAACCUACAAGG
rnacentral:snoRNA from 1 species